AACGCAACUUGCGCUCUCUGGUAUUCCGGAGAGCAUGCCUGUUUGAGUGUCAUGAAAUCUCAACCAUUAGGGUUUCUUAAUGGCUUGGAUUUGGAGGUUGCCAUUCUGAAUGGCUCCUCUCAAAAGAGUUAGCGAGUUUAACUAUUGCUAUCUGGCGUAAUAAGUUUCGCUGGAAUGGUAUUGUGAAGCGCGCUUCUAAUCGUCUUCGGACAAUUACUUUGACUCUGGCCUCAAAUCAGGUAGGACUACCCGCUGAACUUAA
rnacentral:misc_RNA from 2 species